rnacentral:misc_RNA from 1 species
UUUUAAGGUAGUUUUAGUGCUUAUUGGGUGAGGGAUUUUGUUGAUUUACUUUUGAAUGGAUUGCAUACAAGUGGUUCUUAGGAAGAAUUGGUUUGUGUGGAUUUGUGUAGUGGUGCUGGGCUUUUGAGUGGUCACAAGAAAGGAAAGCAUUCUCAAGGUUUCUGUUGAUACCUUAUAGUGUUCAUUGACUAAGAUGGAGCUUUGCUUUCUUCUUCAAUUUUAGCACCGAAGGUAGAUCCUGUUUAUGGCUAGAGUUUGGACGUUGUCUUAUUUUAAGGUUUUUUGGGUCUGGUUUGGCUAUCCUUUUCCGGUUUCCAAGGAAAAGUUUUUCUUCUACACCAAUGUUAUUGAUGUUCUUUCCAUGGCGAUGCUUCACUGGUAUUGUUGGGCUUCUAGAUGUAUCGUUGUCUCCCUUGGCUUGAUGUUAUCUAGGGAACCUCCUCUCAGGCAUUCCAGCUGUUCCUUAGUGGUGCUUUAUUCGUCAGUAUCCUCUUCCACUAGUGGUAGCCAAUCAUUCAAGGGUCUUACGAUGGUUCCUUAGCUGUGCUCUAUGUGAUUGAAACAAGUGAUCCUCUGGGUCAUAGGUUUGAGUCUAAGAUCCAUGCUCUGUUAGAGUUUAAUUUGAAAUGGACUUGGUUUGUCUGGUAUAAUUUGGAUCUUCAGUUGGAAGCGUUUAGUUGGUUGGCUAUGAGACUG